rnacentral:rRNA from 1 species
UGCAAGUCGAACGAAGGCCCGGAGCUUGCUCCGGUCACCUUAGUGGCGGACGGGUGAGUAACGCGUGGGUAUCUGCCCAGCAGUACGGAAUAACCACGGGAAACUGUGGCUAAUACCGCAUACGCCCCCCUUGGUAAAACUUGGGGGGGAAAGAUUUAUCGCUGUUGGAUGAGCCCGCGUCGGAUUAGCUUGUUGGCGGGGUAACGGCCCACCAAGGCGACGAUCCGUAGCUGGUCUGAGAGGAUGAUCAGCCACACUGGGACUGAGACACGGCCCAGACUCCUACGGGAGGCAGCAGUGGGGAAUAUUGGACAAUGGGCGAAAGCCUGAUCCAGCAAUGCCGCGUGAGUGAAGAAGGCCUUAGGGUUGUAAAACUCUUUCACCGGGGAAGAUAAUGACGGUACCCGGAGAAGAAGCCCCGGCCAACUCCGUGCCAGCAGCCGCGGUAAUACGGAGGGGGCUAGCGUUGUUCGGAAUUACUGGGCGUAAAGCGCGCGUAGGCGGUUUGCCAAGUCAGGCGUGAAAGCCCCGGGCUCAACCCGGGAACUGCGUUUGAAACUGGCAGGCUUGAGGCCGGGAGAGGGUAGUGGAAUUCCCAGUGUAGAGGUGAAAUUCGUAGAUAUUGGGAAGAACACCGGUGGCGAAGG